rnacentral:rRNA from 1 species
GAAACGACUGCUAAGACUGGAUAGGAAAUAAAAAGGCAUCUUUUUGUUUUUAAAGAGGGGCUUGCGCCACAUUAGUUAGUUGGUGAGGUAAAGGCUUACCAAGAUUAUGAUGUGUAGCUGGACUGAGAGGUUGAACAGCCACAUUGGGACUGAGACACGGCCCAAACUCCUACGGGAGGCAGCAGUAGGGAAUUUUCGGCAAUGGAGGAAACUCUGACCGAGCGACGCCGCGUGAACGAUGAAGUAUUUCGGUAUGUAAAGUUCUUUUAUUGAAGAAGAAAAAAUAGUGGAAAAACUAUCUCGACGUUAUUCAAUGAAUAAGCCCCGGCUAACUAUGUGCCAGCAGCCGCGGUAAGACAUAGGGGGCGAGCGUUAUCCGGAAUUAUUGGGCGUAAAGGGUGCGUAGGCGGUUAGAUAAGUCUAUAAUUUAAUUUCAGUGCUUGACGCUGUCUUGUUAUAGAAACUGUCUUGACUAGAGUGAGAUAGAGGCAAGCGGAAUUCCAUGUGUAGCGGUAAAAUGUGUAAAUAUAUGGAGGAACACCAGAAGCGUAGGCGGCUUGCUGGGUCUUUACUGACGCUGAGGCACGAAAGCGUGGGGAGCAAACAGGAUUAGAUACCCUGGUAGUCCACGCUGUAAACGAUGAGUACUAAGUGUCGGGGCAACUCGGUACUGAAGUUAACACAUUAAGUACUCCGCCUGAGUAGUACGUACGCAAGUAUGAAACUUAAAGGAAUUGACGGGACUCCGCACAAGCGGUGGAUCAUGUUGUUUAAUUCGAAGAUACACGAAAAACCUUACCAGGUCUUGACAUACUCUGCGAAGCUAUAGAAAUAUAGUGGAGGUUAUCAGGGAUACAGGGUGGUGCAUGGUUGUCGUCAGUUCGUGUCGUGAGAUGUUAGGUUAAGUCCUAAAACGAACGCAACCCCUGUCGUUAGUUACCAGCACGUAAUGGUGGGGGACUUUAGCGAGACUGCCAAUUUAAACAUUGGAGGAAGGGUUGGGGAUAACGUCAAAUCAUCAUGCCCCUUAUGAUCUGGGGCUACAAACGUGAUACAAUGGCUGUUACAAAGAGUAGCUGAAACGCGAGUCUUUAGCCAAUCUCAAAAAGACAGUCUUUAGUCCGGAUUGAAGUCUGCAACUCGACUUCAUGAAGCUGGAAUUCGCUAGGUAAUCGGCGAAUCAGCCAAUGUCGCCCGGGUGAAUACCGGGGUUUGUACACACCGCCCGUCA